rnacentral:lncRNA from 1 species
AUUAGAGGUCUGGAUCCAUGUUGACCACUAAAUAGGAUGAGAACUUGGACAGUUAUAAUUAUCUGUGCCUCAGAUUGGGACUCCUGAAUGACUCUCUUUUCUACCCGCCUCUAUAAAAUCCCAGGCUCCUUUCCUUUUCUUGUCAAGCUGUUUCUCAUGAAUGAAUGUUGUCUUUAUUUCAAUAACCUGAAUAAAAUCUUUUUUCUAGUUGUCCCGUGCAUUUUGUCUUUCACAGUUUGAUGCCAAGACUCAGAGGGGAUUGGAUCUCACCUUCGGAUCCCCAUUUACUCCACCCUGAUAAGGAGGCCUCUCUGGUCCCUUGGUGCUCCAUUCCUAACUGGCAGUCCGGGGACCCAAUGGUGUGUCCUACAUCUGGUCUUGUGCUCUGUAGUCUCGUCUGUUGGUUGUGUGAACUAAAAUCUGAAUGCACAGAUUCUCAUUGCCUUAUAUCCUGCUCAUUUCCCCAUAGUCUACAGAAGCCUUGAAAUAUUAACUUCAAAAUAUUAUCAUCACAGUAGACCACGCCUGGGCUGGAUUUCUUCCUGGGCAAGUCUCUAACUAGAACGCAAAAAAAGUCAAGCCAAAAGGUUGGGUCAUGUAUGACCUUCUGCAAGAGAUGUGGACAACAUCACCAAGAAUAUUGACAGCCUAGCCCAAGAGCUACGAGAAACUCAAAGAACACUGCUUUACAACCAAAAGAUUUUUACCCUCUGACUUCUUGGAAUCCACUGGAUUUGUUACCCUAAGUGGUUCAGCUCCUGGCUCGCUAAUACAAUGUUUUAUAUUAAUAUUUCUUUUUCAUUUUAGAUCUCUCUUUUUUUAGAUGUCUAAUCUUCAGGUAUCUAAAACAACUCAACUUUGCCACCAUCCCUCAAUGGGUUGUUUAACUGGUUUUACAGGACACUGUCAAAAGAAUCCCUGAAAGACUAUAUCUUAGGCCUUGCUUCAUUCACCCCACUAAGGUUUAUGACUACCUCUCAGUUGUUCAGUGAUUAAUGAUGUUUAUCUUUGAAACAGGGAGAAUGAAAAUGUUGAAUGUCACCUGACUUUUGUACUCUUUGAAAGUAGUGAUGGAUAAGAAAUUGCCUCAUAUUUUCAUGUUCUGGGAAAUCAUAAGAGAUUACUCUGCCCUUAAAUGUAAGACCCAUCUCCAUGCAUUCUCUGCAGUCCUAUAAGAACUGAAGUUACCUCCCUUGUUUACUUGCCUCUAUAAAACUCCAGUCCUUCUUCCUUUUCUUUUAGCUGUUCCUCAUUAAUGCACAUUUUCCAGGCUGCAGUAGCCUGAAUAAAAUCAUAUCUUUAAUUGUUCAGUGCAUUUUGCCUUUCAAAAACUUCUCUAAAUUCCAUUUUUUUCACCUGUGCUUCUUAAAUAUCUGAAGAUUCACAAAUAUAUUGCAAAAGUUUGUGAUUAUUUAAGUUGGUAGUGGAGUUCCUUUUCAAUACAAUUUUUCAAACAAAAAAUAAUUAUUUUCCCCUUUAUAACUGAACAGAUUUUUAGGACCUCAGAAUGCACUUUGAGUAUGCACAACAGGGAGUAGGAAUCUGAUUAACAUGCUGUUCUCUCUCUCAUGCUUGCAUUCUCUCUCUCUCUCCGUCUCUCUCUCAGUAUCUUUAUCAGUCAGCUGAACACUGCUAGAACAAUUUACACCCUAAUGGAUGAUAGUUAAAGACCAUAAUCACAAGGAACACUUAAUGUUGAACAAUAAAUGAUUAUUUUGCAAAUUCACCUCAGGGAUCUUCAUUAUAUCUAUAAAUUAUAUCCUUCAGAUAAAGACCAUCACAUGCCGUAUAAUAAUUUCUGUAGUAAUUUAAAAAUAUAUAUUAAAAAGAUAAAAGAUGGUACUGAUCAUAGCGCAU